AAGAAAGUAAAUAAGGGCACACGGGGGAUGCCUAGGCUCCCAGAGGCGAAGAAGGACGCGA
rnacentral:rRNA from 1 species